ACGGCGAGACCGCGGACGGCUCAUUAAAUCAGUCGUGGUCCAAAUGGGCCAGUGCAAAUCCUACUUGGAUAACUGUGGUAAUUCCAGAGCUAAUACAUGCAACUGAUAUCCCGAAGGCGAUGGUUGUGCUUGCUUGUCUUGCGCUCUCACUGCUCUGACGGAUGCUUUUAUUAGACCAAACUGCUGAGGACUUGAGGGUUCGCCUUCUUGUCUGACUCGUGUAAUGGUGACUCUGGAUAACCAAUCUGACAAGCGCACGUACUUCUCUUCUGAGCGAGACGGCGCUGCCACUUUCGAGUGUCUGCCUUAUCAGCUAUCAACCGUUCGUUAUGCGCGACCGAUGGCUUUGACGGGUAACGGGGAAUCAGGGUUCGAUUCCGGAGAGGCAGCCUGAGAGACGGCUACCACGUCCAAGGACGGCAGCAGGCACGCAAAUUACCCAAUCCCAGCAAAUGGGGGAGGUAGUGACGAAAUCUAACGAUGCGGGCGCCCUUUCUGGGGCCCCGCAAUCGGAAUGGGCACUUUCUAAACAACCUGUUGAGAACCUACUGAAGGGCAAGUCUGGUGCCAGCAGCCGCGGUAAUUCCAGCUUCAGCAGCAUCUAUUAAAGUUGCUGCGGUUAAAAGGCUCGCAGUUGAAUGUCUGUAUCGAGCGCAGGUCAGGUGGACGUU
rnacentral:rRNA from 1 species